CAAACGCUGUGCUCACUUGCAUCUGUGGGAUUUUGCUGGUGAUCCUUCCCUGUUUAUCUGAGAUAAAGGAAUUGAAGAACCAGGAAGUGAAGGCACAUUGCCACAUCAUACAGUGGGCAAAUGCUGGAACAAGGAGAAACACACGCACAAAAGAGAAAGGAAGUUUUCUGGCUCUGAGCGCAUCUUCCAGAAUGGGAC